ensembl:lncRNA
AUGCCACACAACGGGAAGAAUGGCAGAAUUUACACAGCUGACGGCGCCGGUGGGGAGAGGGUGCUGAGCACUCCGAACAGCGAAGACAGGCUGGGGGGGGGGGUGCCCAGCAGCUCCAUAAAACUAAGCAGGUGCCACCCCUACAGCCUGGACCCCCAGGGCAAUGGCAACAGACGUUUUCAGGAAGAGAAGGGCCAAAGCAGACGCUCAGCAGCCAGACGUCCCGCUGCAGAGGAGCCCGAAGGCAGGAGGGGUGGAGAACAGGGAGGGUUCGCAGAGGUCCCUCCUGUCCCCACCGCACAGGGGCCGUCCCACACUGUUCGGAGUAGCACGUGUCAAAGCUCCAUGAGUGCUCCAACAUUCACUGUGUGUAAACUCUGCUCCAGAAGGAGAAACGCUGUGAGUAGGCAUCGACCUAGGAUGAACGGGGAAUAAAAGGCUGGAGAAGUGGGUGGCGAAGUGAAGACAGGCGUCUGGUGAGAGAGAUCUAACUGGCAGUUCUUAGUGGGUCGGACAGGUGUUCGCUGAAAAAUGCAUUCUGUUUGCAAUACAUCUGGUGUUUUCUCCCCUUUUAAUUCUUCCCCACAUCUUCCCAACAUUUCUCUGGAAAGUGCAUGCGCCUUGUCACCUGAGAGCUGAAACAGGCAUGAAGAGAAAGGCCCAGCAUUCGUCUGGUGUUGUUUCUAAGGGGCCCUGUGUCAACAGAGGCAUCCGGCUGUGGACUCAUAGCUCAACCCAGGUCCCCGGCUGUAUCGUCAACACCAGUGAUGUCCCCUGCCUGCCGAGGUUGGGCGUGAUGAAGCCACAGCACUUCAUCCAACACAUGACCAGCUCAGGGGUCGGCUCCUGUGGUGCAGUCGGAGAGGAGAUACACCCCCAUGGACCUAAGGCGGGAGUGGGGGAGGAGGAAGGGAAAGGAAGGAUAUUCAGAAUUAAGAUAGAGAAGCAGAAACAGGACUGGAAAAAGUAAACAUUCAAACUUUUAAAAGGCUACACGUCAACCUGUAAAGAAACAUCGUUUGGUCUGCACGUCUGUGGCACAGAUCUGACUUGCCUGGGGCUCCGCUGGCCACAGAAAUGGGGAUGGUCUCCAGACUGAGUCUGUGUUUGACGUGGGCGGCUGCACCGUCGGCUCGAAACCCCAGAGAAGUGAGCUCUGACAGCCGAUCUGCCUCGGACCCGAUGAGUCUGAGGGUCGUGUCUCAUCCCCUCCUGUGUCCUGGAAUCUGUGUGGAGCUUCAGUUCUCUUCCGUUGUGGCUGAGACACAUUUUAAAUGUUUUUUAAGUUUUACGACUCAUUUUCCACCAGGUUGUCCUGUGCCUUCUGUUUUGCCCCAAGAGAGAAUUAUUUUGUUGGUAUGUGUCUGAUUUUGCCAAAUCCUGACUAUGUUCUAGCUGGACCAAUCUAAGUGGAGGCUGGAGGACCAGAAGUCGGGGCUGGGGGGCCUGUCUGGAAAAGGAACCCUUCCUCACUGACCUGAAGCUGGAAAGACCUUGCUGCCAAGAAGUGUGCCCGAAGGUGAACUCAUCACAGAGAAGGUGUCUGCUCCAGAACACAGAGCCAGGCUGCGAGCCUGGGAACAGGAGGGUGAGCCCUGGGGAGGGGGCUCUGCCAGGCUCAGGGGGUCUGCAGGUGCUGUCCAUCCCAGCGCUGGAGGCCUGGGCACUCAAUGGGCCACCCCCCCAGGAGGGCCUCCCCAGUGCGCCCAACCCUCGCCCUCUGCAUUCUGGUCCUUGCUAUUAGGGUGGGCGGCCCCAGGCCCCAGAGCCACACCCCACCUGCACGCGUCCUUCCCAGGUGCCCAAGCUUCCCCACCUCAGGGUCAUGCCCCUCCUCUGCCCAGCGCCAUGGGCUCUGCUGGGAGGGCCACUGCACAGAUGCUCAGGGCCACUCCUAACCUGUUCCUCAGUGAGGAGUGACCAAUGGAGCCACUGCCGCUCCAGCUCUCUGCACCACCUGGUCGUGGGCAAUCAGCCCCCCACCGUCUCAGACACCUUUGGAGAUAAUGGGUGGCUCCUGACUGGACCAAACAGAACAUGCCACCAAGUUCAAAACCAGAGCGACGAGACCUAGCAUCACCCAGCCCAGCCUUCCCUCCCAGGGAGCGUCUCAGAAUUAUCCCUGCAAGGCUGGGCCCCCCGCCCUCUGAUCACCUCGGACCACCCUUUCUCGUGUCUUCUGCAGCCCCCAAACACGAGGACAUUUCCUCCCCUCCCUCGGCAUUUCUCCCUGUGCCCUGGGGAGCCCCUCACCAUGGCCACCCUUCUCUGAGUGGGCUUACGGUCUGCCUCCCUCCCCACCACCCCCAACAAAACAGGCUGAGCCGGUGGGAGUCUGGGGGUUGAAGUGACAGCAAAUGACUCUGCUGCUGUUGUCCUUUGUGGUAUCUCUUCUAUCGAGUCAGGGAUUACUCAGCUGUUAGAAUUUAGGCCUCAUCCUUAUAAAGCAUUACUCAUCAGAAUCAGGGUGCUGUCAGGAACCCUAACCCUUGAGGCACAGCCCAUCUGUGACUACAGACCACCCCGCAGCACUCUGAGUAGCAGAGACAAACAGUUCUGUGGUCCAGACGCAGAUGCCGACCUUAAAUGUGGAAGGAAAGGAACUGAUGCUUUUAAGUGCCAAACAAUCAUAAACUAAACCAAUUAACGGUGAUUAUUAUUAAAUAUUCAUAAUUUGGAUGCUUUAAUAUGACUCUAGAAGUUGUAGCUCUAGUAAUUUAGACAUGUUGGAUACAAUAAGCACAUCAAGAAGUCUCCGAGAAAGAAUUAGACAUGCACACCCUCUGCCCAUCCAACCACCCUCUUCCCUCUACCUGCCACCCACCCAUCUGCCCACCUACGCACCCACCCAGUCAGCCACCCUUCUGCCCACCCACCUACCCAUCCCCUUACCUGGAUUCCUACCCACCUGAAAGUGCCAGGUGCACAAGAAUGAUGACUCAAAUGCAAUAAAAUGAUAAUAUUUGGGGAAUCUGGGUGAAGG